rnacentral:rRNA from 1 species
UACGUAGGGGGCAAGCGUUGUCCGGAAUCAUUGGGCGUAAAGCGCGUGUAGGCGGCUCGAUAAGUCUGCUGUGAAAGUCCAGGGCUCAACCCUGGGAUGCCGGUGGAUACUGUCGAGCUCGAGUCCGGAAGAGGAGUGUGGAAUUCCUGGUGUAGCGGUGAAAUGCGCAGAUAUCAGGAGGAACACCGAUAGCGAAGGCAGCACUCUGGUACGUGACUGACGCUGAGACGCGAAAGCGUGGGGAACAAACAGG